rnacentral:rRNA from 1 species
GAUGAACGCUAGCGGGAGGCCUAACACAUGCAAGCCGAGCGGUAUUGUUUCUUCGGAAAUGAGAGAGCGGCGUACGGGUGCGGAACACGUGUGCAACCUGCCUUUAUCUGGGGGAUAGCCUUUCGAAAGGAAGAUUAAUACUCCAUAAUAUAUUGAACGGCAUCGUUUAAUAUUGAAAGCUCCGGCGGAUAGAGAUGGGCACGCGCAAGAUUAGCUAGUUGGUGAGGUAACGGCUCACCAAGGCGAUGAUCUUUAGGGGGCCUGAGAGGGUGAUCCCCCACACUGGUACUGAGACACGGACCAGACUCCUACGGGAGGCAGCAGUGAGGAAUAUUGGUCAAUGGGUGCAAGCCUGAACCAGCCAUCCCGCGUGAAGGACGACUGCCCUAUGGGUUGUAAACUUCUUUUGUAUAGGGAUAAACCUACCCUCGUGAGGGUAGCUGAAGGUACUAUACGAAUAAGCACCGGCUAACUCCGUGCCAGCCGCCGCGGUAAAAC